UCAAAGAAAAGAAGGCUUACGGUGGAGACCUAGGCACUCAGAGACGACGAAGGGCGCAGAUACCGGCGAUACGCUUCGGGGAGCUGGUAACAAGCACAGAUCCGAAGAUACCCGAAUAGGGCAACCUCUGCAAAGCAGAACUCCUUUUUGAAUUCAUAGAAAAGGAAGAGGCAACCCGGUGAACUGAAACAUCUCAGUAGCCGGAGGAAAAGAAAGCAAACGCGAUUCCCGGAGUAGCGGCGAGCGAAAUGGGAACAGCCUAAACCACUCUUCUCAAAAAGAGUGGGGUUGUGGGAAUCCAGAAAAAAAAGCAAACAAAGCGCUCAAAAGAAGAGACGAAGCAGCUGAAUCCUGCACCAUAGAUGGUGAAAGUCCAGUAGUCAAAAACUUUUCCAGUCGACGUAUGUCGACAGGUACAAAAAAUGGAAAAUCCCGAGUAGCAUGGGGCACGUGGAAUCCCGUGUGAAUCUGCGAGGACCACCUCGUAAGGCUAAAUACUCCUGAGUGACCGAUAGUGAAGAAGUACAGCGAUGGAAAGGUGAAAUAGAACCCCCGUAGGGGAGUGAAAAAGAACAUGAAACCGUAAGCUGACAAGCAGUGGGAGGAUACAUAUAUCUGACCGCGUGCCUGUUGAAGAAUGAGCCGGCGACUUAUAGGAGGUGGCAGGGUUAAGGAGUUUUAUCCGGAGCCCAAGCGAAAGCGAGUCUGAAAAGGGCGACAAAGUCAUUUCUUAUGGACCCGAACCUGGAUGAUCUAAUCAUGGCCAGGUUGAAGCAUGGGUAACACCAUGUGAAGGACCGAACCGACCGGUGUUGAAAAAUCGGCGGAUGAGCUGUGAUUAGUGGUGAAAUUCCAAUCGAAUUCAGAGCUAGCUGGAUCUCCCCGAAAUGCGUUGAGGCGCAGCGGCGACGACGUCCUGUCUAAGGGUAGAGCGACUGUUUCGGUGCGGGCUGCGAAAGCGGUACCAAGUCGUGGCAAACUCCGAAUAUUAGGCAAUGGAUUCCGUGAGCCAGUGAGAGUGUGGGAGAUAAGUUUCAUACUCAAGAGGGAAACAGCCCAGACCAUCAGCUAAGGCCCCUAAAUGGAUGCUAAGUGGAAAAGGAUGUGAGAAUGCUGAAACAACCAGGAGGUUCGCUUAGAAGCAGCUAUUCCUUGAAAGAGUGCGUAAUAGCUCACUGGUAAAGCGUUCUUGCGCCGACAAUGGCCGGGACUAAGCAUCCUGCCGAAGCUAUGGGAUUUGUUCUUUUUUCAAACAAAAAAGAAAUGAAUCGGUAGGGGAGCGUUCUGCAUUGGGUGAAGCUUUGACGGAAGUCUUGGUGGACAGUGCGGAAGUGAGAAUGUCGGCUUGAGUAACGAAAACAUUGGUGAGAAUCCAAUGCCCCGAAAACCUAAGGGUUCCUCUACAAGGUUCGUCCGUGGGGGGUGAGUCAGGACCUAAGGCGAGGCCGAGCGGCGUAGUCGAUGGCAAACAGGUUAAUAUUCCUGUACUCAUUUUUGUGGGAACCGAGGGACGAAGAAAGCUAAAUUGGGUCUGUUUUUGGAUUGCAGUGGAAACGUUCAAGGCUACGAAAGGUCGAACAAAAACGAAUCUUGAGCUGAGGCGUGAUCCCGCUUUCUAGACUUGUUCUGGAUAAGCGCCAAUGAUGUUAUGCUUCCAAGAAAAGCUCGUACACCUCUAAAAGCAAUUUUAGAAAAACACAAAAAUGACCUGUACCUGAAACCGACACAGGUAGGUUGGUAGAGAAUACUAAGGGGCGCGAGAGAACUCUCUCUAAGGAACUCGGCAAACUAGCCCCGUAACUUCGGGAGAAGGGGCGCCCUUUACAAAAAGGGUCGCAGUGAACCGGUUCUGGCAACUGUUUAUCAAAAACACAGGUCUCCGCAAAGUCGUAAGACAAUAUAUGGGGGCUGACGCCUGCCCAGUGCCGGAAGGUCAAGGAAGUUGGUUAUAAGCCUUCGGGUUUAGAAGCUGACGACCGAAGCCCCGGUGAACGGCGGCUGUAACUAUGACAGUUACUUUUAGGGCUGUCGUUAAAUAAAACUAUAUGCUGUGCCUAAGGUAGCGAAAUUCAUUGUCGAGUAAGUUUCGACCUGCACGAAAGGCGUAAUGAUCAGAACGCUGUCUCGGAGAGAGACUCGGUGAAAUAGACUUGUCCGUGAAGAUGCGGACUACUAAUACUUGGACAGAAAGACCCUAUGAAGCUUGACUGUAUCCUGGAAUUGGGUUCGGGCUUUUCUUGCGCAGUCUAGGUGGGAGGCUAUGAAGAUUUCCUUCCGGGGAAGUUGGAGCCAACAGUGAGAGACCACUCUGGAGAGGCUAGAAUCCUAAUGGUGAUCCUUGAAUCAGGACACUUGACAGUUUCAGGUGGGCAGUUUUUCUGGGGCGGAAGCCUCAUAAAAGGUAACUGAGGCGCGCAAAGGUUCCCUCAGUCUGGACGGAAAUCAGACAGCGAGUGUAAAGGCAAAAGGGAGCUUGACUGCAAGACCAACAAGUCGAGCAGGAGCGAAAGCUGGCCUUAGUGAUCCGACGGUGCCGUGUGGAAGGGCCGUCGCUCAACGAAUAAAAGUUACUCUAGGGAUAACAGGCUGAUCUUCUCCAAGAGUUCACAUCGACGAGAAGGUUUGGCACCUCGAUGUCGGCUCAUCACAUCCUGGGGCUGUAGUAGGUCCCAAGGGUUGGGCUGUUCGCCCAUUAAAGUGGUACGUGAGCUGGGUUCAGAACGUCGUAAGACAGUUCGGUCCAUAUCCGGUAUUAGCGUUAGAAUAUUGAGGUCAGUCACUCAUAGUACGAGAGGACCUGUAGUGAACAUGCCAAUGGUGUACCUGUUAUUUUUCCAAAAGUAAACGCAGGGUAGCCACGCAUGGAGUGAAUAAGUACUGAAUGCAUCUAAGUACGAAGUCCAGACCAAGAUGAGUAUUCUCCAUUAGGCCGCAGCAAGACAAGCUGUUGUAUAGGUAUCAAGUGUAAGGCCAGUAAUGGUUUCAGCUGAGAUAUACUAAAGGCUAAUUGAUUUUGAC
rnacentral:rRNA from 1 species